ensembl:lncRNA
CACCAGGAGCUGAAUCCUCACUUCACACACUCCUAAUAUGGUCAGCCCUGCAGCCAGCAGCCUGGGAGCCAAAGCCUCCUCCUGCCUCCCAAGGUUAACCCUUUGGUGUAGGAAAGAGGGAAACCAGAAUGACGGCUGAUAGUUACAGAGCCUCUGAUUACAAAUAAAAACAAGUGAACCUGCCAUGAUGGAGAAACCAGGACGCAAUCCACUCUCCAAAUAGAAGUGUUUACAGCAUGUGAACGUGAGAUCAAGGAAGCUGGGCAAUGUGAACUGCCUGAACCCCACAGGUCACUGAACUGAAACAGGAAAUCAGAAGAAAGGCAAGGGAGAAAAAACAUUCUUGGGAGGGGGAAAAGACAGCAUAAACAAGAACAGGAAGGGGAAUGCAGAUGUCGGCACAAACCAUCAUCAGAAGGGUGCAAUUGGAGGAAUGAGCAGGAAUUCUCAGGGGCUUGAUUCAGAUCAAGUGUCACACAUAGCACAGACAGAGAAGGCACUGGACCUGUCCAAUCUGUGCUGCAGCUAAAGCUAAAUAACCAGGAAAUGUCAGAAGAGAAAUGUGUCAUCCCCAUUUCUAAUAUGGAUGGCGCAGGGAAGUACCUAUCUGGGGCUUGAAAGCCUGUUGUUCCACUGUCUCUCUUUCUACCACUGACACACUGAUAACUUCAGUACCUGGGAUUGAACUGAGGACCUUGUGCUUGCCAAGCAGGGGAAGAUCAACAGAGGCACUUACUCAGAAUGAAAG